rnacentral:tRNA from 1 species
UUAUACGGGAAGUAGCUCAGCUUGGUAGAGCACUUGGUUUGGGACCAAGGGGUCGCAGGUUCGAAUCCUGUCUUCC